AUUCAUCUGAAGAGUCCCAAAUAGAACAAAACGCGCGUCCUAGAU
rnacentral:hammerhead_ribozyme from 1 species